CAAUUGAGUGCAUAAAGUAUGGUAUUGGCAAUCAUUUUGUUAUAUCAUACAUUUCUUACAGGGAACAGAAUGCUGUUUGUCAUAACCCUACCACUGUUCCUUGGUUUGUGUAAUAUUUAUUAGCUACAUAAGUCAAUAGCUUCCAUAUGAACAGGUUAUGUUUACUUGGUUACUUGAAAAACAGAUGGCUGUUUGAACAUAAACUGAGGGACUUGGGGGAAGACAUAGAAGGUUCGAUGAUGUAAAGACUGACUGCUAAAGUUGUCUGAAUCAGUUAAUAACCUUCAGAGCCUUGAGCAUGAAGCUACACUGCCGAGGGAUCACAGAGGUUACCAAACUUCCUGAAAAGAUCUUAGACAAUCAGAUAAGAAAACAGACCAGGUCCCUGAAGGCCGGCAUUGUAUCUGUCUUGCUCACCACUGCAGCCUCAUUUCCUGGGAGUCCAGCAUGUGGUGGUAUUUGUUGUUGAAUGAAUGAAUAAAUGAAAAAUGCAAAAUGAUAA